GAUGAACGCUGGCGGCGUGCCUAAUACAUGCAAGUCGAGCGAACGGACGAGAAGCUUGCUUCUCUGAUGUUAGCGGCGGACGGGUGAGUAACACGUGGAUAACCUACCUAUAAGACUGGGAUAACUUCGGGAAACCGGAGCUAAUACCGGAUAAUAUUUUGAACCGCAUGGUUCAAAAGUGAAAGACGGUCUUGCUGUCACUUAUAGAUGGAUCCGCGCUGCAUUAGCUAGUUGGUAAGGUAACGGCUUACCAAGGCAACGAUGCAUAGCCGACCUGAGAGGGUGAUCGGCCACACUGGAACUGAGACACGGUCCAGACUCCUACGGGAGGCAGUAGUAGGGAAUCUUCCGCAAUGGGCGAAAGCCUGACGGAGCAACGCCGCGUGAGUGAUGAAGGUCUUCGGAUCGUAAAACUCUGUUAUUAGGGAAGAACAUACGUGUAAGUAACUGUGCACAUCUUGACGGUACCUAAUCAGAAAGCCACGGCUAACUACGUG
rnacentral:rRNA from 1 species